AUUUACUGCUGGCAUGAUGUUUAAACAAGACAUUUAGGUUCUCUGUGCUUUGGCGUAGUCAUCUGUCAUGGGAAUAAUAUUUACCUUGUGAGAAUUCAAUGAGAUAAGCCACAUAGAGCUCAGUGCCUAGCACAUAAUGAAUACUGAUAAAUGCAUGCUAUUAUUAGCACAGCAGGUUUACAGUUUAUAAACCACACUGACAUCAUUUCCUCCCACGUUUUCCAUGUAACACAUCUAUGAGAUAAGUAGGAUGGAUCGGAUUCUGUUUUAACAGACAAAGAAUCUGAAGCGGUUGAGUCAUCCAAGAUCAGGAAUUGCUCAUUACCCUGGUCUGCCUUCAGCAAGAAUCCUAUUAGGUGAGUUUGGCAAAGAAUUAUCCUACCCUCUUAGUAAUUUUCUAUCCAUCUACCUCCCACCCAACUCCUUGGCUAUAAAUCUCUCCUUUUCCUUGUAUGUGGAAUGGAGUCCAAUCUCUUUCCCCCACUGCAAAACCCCAUGAUAGUAUUCCCCCCUUACCAUUCAAGUAAGUAGGCUGCCUUACCAUUAUACAAGUGUCACAAAUAAUUUUUUUCUUUAACAGAAUGUAGAAAAAUUAGCAAUACAGACAAAUACAAAGGACAUACUCCUCCCCAAACAACUCUGUGGACUCCUUGGUCUGUAUCUUUUCCAUUUCUUUUCUAUAUAUGCUUCCAACAACGGGGUCAUACCAUAGUUACCACAUUGUAACAUGAUUUUUCAUGGCACCAUGUAUCAUGAUUUUUUUUUCAUAUCAGUAGACAGAUUUCUGCAACAUUUCAAGUAGCUGCAUAGUAUGGAGGCUUCAUGUUUUAGCUGGACAAUGAUCUAUUGUUGAACGUUUUCAUUUAUCAUCCCAACUUUUCUUUAUUGAAAAUAGUACUGACAUGAAUAUCCUCUUGUAGCUAAAUCUUCAUACACAUCUUUAAUUAUU
rnacentral:lncRNA from 10 species